rfam:Ixodes scapularis strain Wikel colony gcontig_1108378621808, whole genome shotgun sequence.
UAAACGGCCUUUAUCAAGGCCACUCAUCUGUAGUAUAUCGGAGCUG